rnacentral:piRNA from 1 species
UGAACUGCACGGUGGAGCUGCCUCAGGG